rnacentral:rRNA from 1 species
AGAGUUUGAUCAUGGCUCAGAACGAACGCUGGCGGCGUGCCUAACACAUGCAAGUCGAACGCGAACGUCUUCUUCGGAGGACAAGUAGAGUGGCGCACGGGUGAGUAACGCGUAAGUAAUCUGUCCUGGCAUCUGGGAUAACCUAUCGAAAGGUGAGCUAAUACCGGAUACGUCCUGCGGGAGAAAGACCGCCUCUGUUGUAAGCGGUUGUGCGAGGAGGAGCUUGCGUACCAUUAGCUGGUUGGUGGGGUAACGGCCUACCAAGGCGACGAUGGUUAGCGGGUCUGAGAGGAUGAUCCGCCACACUGGAACUGAAACACGGACCAGACUCCUACGGGAGGCAGCAGUGAGGAAUAUUGCGCAAUGGGGGCAACCCUGACGCAGCGACGCCGCGUGGAUGAUGAAGGCCUUCGGGUUGUAAAAUCCUGUCAGAUGGGAAGAAGUGUACGAUGGUUAAGAGCUGUCGUAUUUGACGGUACCAUCAAAGGAAGCACCGGCUAACUCCGUGCCAGCAGCCGCGGUAAUACGGAGGGUGCGAGCGUUGUUCGGAUUUACUGGGCGUAAAGCGCGCGUAGGCGGUGUGAUCAGUCAGCUGUGAAAGCCCAUGGCUCAACCAUGGACGUGCAGUUGAAACUGUCAGACUUGAGUACUGGAGGGGGUGGUGGAAUUCCCGGUGUAGAGGUGAAAUUCGUAGAUAUCGGGAGGAAUACCGGUGGCGAAGGCGACCGCCUGGCCAGAUACUGACGCUGAGGUGCGAAAGCGUGGGGAGCAAACAGGAUUAGAUACCCUGGUAGUCCACGCCGGUAACGAUGAGAACUAAGUGUUGGGAUGGAUACCAUUUCUUUGCCGGAACUAACG